rnacentral:lncRNA from 1 species
CUGGAUUAUGGUCGGGUAAAAGGAGGAGAGCAUCUCGGACAUCGGCCGACUCUUCAAGAGCUCCCGAUCGGUCGGGAGAAUGGUUGCUUGAUACAACCUCCUGGCCAAAUUAUGGUUGGCCAGGGCCGAUGCUCCUUCAAAAACCCAAACAUCGGAUGAUGCAAUGCGGUCUGCUGACUUUGUGUCGUCCGUCGGCACCAUCGGAGCUUUCCCCCGAUCAGUCGUCCAGGCC